rnacentral:lncRNA from 10 species
AGAACGUGUAACCGAAACACAGAAAAAUGAGCGUGUUAAGAAGCAACUUCAGGCAUUAAGUUCAGAAUUAGCCCAAGCCAGAGAUGAAACCAAGAAAACACAAAAUGAUGUUCUUCAUGCUGAGAAUGUUAAAGCAGGCCGUGAUAAGUACAAGACUCUGCGACAGAUUCGACAAGGCAAUACAAAGCAGCGUAUCGAUGAGUUUGAAGCAAUGUGAGAGCUGUUAUUUUGCAUAUAUGUUCUUCAUAAGCUGAACCACCAACAGAGAAAAGCAGGCCUUUGCAGAUAUGAUGGAAUGCAUCCCACCUUGCCAAAGCACUUACACCAGUUUGACUGUGCUAGCUAAAAGACAAAUUUAAGGGGAGCUCUUCAACAUUAAGGCAGUAUGAUAUCAUGCUUGGUUUUCUUUUUUCUUUUGGUCCAGGGAAUGGAGAAUGGUGUUCCAUUGCCUCUUUUCACAUUUUUUUUCUUUUUCUUUUUUUUUUCUGUUGAAGAUUAACACUAAUUAUCACGUCUGACAAAUGUGUAUGUGUGGUUUCAGUUCUGUGUACAUUUUAAAGGAUAAUGGUGAACAUUUUAAUGGGUUUCCCUUGCCCUUUCCAUAUUUAACCUAUUUCCACAUUCUCUCUCACUCACAUUUUCUCAGUGUGCCCUUCUCUUAUCUGCCAUGUCCAUAGCCAUAAUUCCACCAUCAUACAGAUCAGGCAGUGUUUAAAAUGAUGGUAGGUAGCACAGUGGACAGUCUUUGAUCAUCAUGUAGAAUAUGGCUAUGAAUCAGGAAAGAGAUUAGAACAUUUAAUAAUGUAUGUACAGCUGGUGCUUAGUUUUUUUUUAAUCUAAAUUUAAUUACCUUAUUGGAUAUUUGAUAUUUGGUUA